CUUCUUAAUAUAAUCAUCCAAAUGGUUAUUCUUCUUUCUUUCUUUUUUUUUCUUUCUUUCUUUUUUUUUUUUUCCAAUUUAUUUGAGUUGUUGAUUCAUGGUUUGCAAUGAGCACACUAUUUUGGUCACAAUAAACUUCUUCAUAAGACCACUAAGAUCUCGUAACUCUCAAAACUUUAUCAAAAUGCAUAUCAACAAUAUAUAUUUUAAGUUGACGAUCAACCUGUCAAGAGUUUUGCUAGUGAAAACUCUUUGGAAUAAUUCUCAACAAAUUAAAUUAAUAUGUUCUCAUUGAAGCGAAACAUGUACACGAAAGAAUAAGUUACCAUUUACUUCUGAAAAACUAUCAUUGAACUUUUGAAUUUGCAUAAAAAUGAAGGCAUAUAAGAAAUAUACACGGUGACUCCAAAACCGUGGUGGUGGCAGUAGUCAAUUGUCAACUGUAAGAGAUCUGAUGAAGCCUUUAUUUGACCUAUUCAACUUGAACAAUAAUGAGUUACAAAAACAAUAGUUUCUACUUGUGGAAACUUUGAUACUAUUGUUGCUCUCAAAUUUCAAACAAUAUUGGUGUUUAUUUUGUUGUUCGUCCAAUCAAUUCUCAACAUAUCAUCAAUUUAGUGGGUUGGGGGGAAUUUAAUAAAGGUAAAUUUGAAAUAACAUGUUAAUUAUUGAUGACAUGUCAAGAAUUAACUGUAUAGACAUUAAAGUCGAUAGCAAAAUUGGACAGGAGAUUUCGACUCAUAUAUAACAUGUUUGGUUAAUGUUAGAAAAUGUAAACAUAAUUUCUUGCCAAUAAAUGAAAAUUAAUAGAAAAAUAAGUAAUAUACAUCGAGAAACGUUAUUUUUAAAGAACGUUGAACGUGUUUGACAAAAAGUAACUCUCAAGUUUAGUUGAACAUAGUUAGCAAAUAUGCAUGUAUAUGUGUGAAAUUUACAUCUUAAUAUGGCUUUUUCUGCAACUGUAAUUCGUAGUUAAUGUUGCAAAAAUAAUAACUUAAUUGGAAGCAAAGGAAAUAUAAUAAGAUUAGACUGCACAAAACCUUCACAAACAUAUGAAUACAAUGUUUGACUUGUAUUUCGACAUGCGAUGUGGGGCAAGUGGAAGUUUAUCAUGUUUCCAUUUAAAUUUUCCCUAACUAAACUCUCGCCCUACUAUUUGAAAUUGAGAUAGUUAUAAGAAAUUAUAGCAGUAAUUCGUUGCAGAAUAUUACUGUGCGCUUGCAGCCACAGUAAGACAAGAUGCAGGCGCUCGUAGACCAAAAAUAAAAUGAUAAAAAUAAUAUAUCGUAAAGUUUGUGUAAUUUGAUUUUUAAAUCCUCCGUCAAAUCUCAUCCAAACCUCCUUCACCCUUUCCUGGAUGUAAAGAAGAAAAAUAUAAGACGCUUUGUGAUCUUGUUAACAGUUAAGCAUGAUAGAUCUUACUUUUUCAUCAUCUCCCCAAAAUCUCGUGAUAACUCUAAUUCAGUCGUAAACAUAGUGUAAAAAUGACUAGAGUCCAAGGCAAAAAGGCAGGACAAUUCAUCUCCACUUUACAUACAAGAAUAUACACUUUUUUGCAUAGAAACUGACCUCAAAUGCUUGUUUCUCUGCUGAAUUUUGUGCUAUUGAUGGGAAAUUCCUAAGGGAUCGCAUGAUCUAAUACAAACAGAUAAACAAAAUCAGUUUAUAUACAUAUGAUCGGAUCAAUGCGAUCCCUUUGGAAUCCUCCACCUACACCAAGAAUUUUUAUAUGUGUGCAGCAGCUGCAGAUAAUGUUUUUCUUAGCUUUUUGACCGUAAACUACUGACGAAGAAGAAGAAGAAGAAAAAAG
rnacentral:lncRNA from 1 species